AUUGAACGCUGGCGGCAGGCCUUACACAUGCAAGUCGAACGGUAACAGGUCUUCGGAUGCUGACGAGUGGCGAACGGGUGAGUAAUACAUCGGAACGUGCCCGAUCGUGGGGGAUAACGAAGCGAAAGCUUUGCUAAUACCGCAUAAGAUCUAAGGAUGAAAGCAGGGGACCGCAAGGCCUUGCGCGAACGGAGCGGCCGAUGGCAGAUUAGGUAGUUGGUGGGAUAAAAGCUUACCAAGCCGACGAACUGUAGCUGAUCUGAGAGGACGACCAGCCACACUGGGACUGAGACACGGCCCAGACUCCUACGGGAGGCAGCAGUGGGGAAUUUUGGACAAUGGGCGAAAGCCUGAUCCAGCCAUGCCGCGUGCAGGAUGAAGGCCUUCGAGUUGUAAACUGCUUCUGUACGGAACGAAAAGACUCUUUCUAAUAAAGAGGGUCCAUGACGGUACCGUAAGAAUAAGCACCGGCUAACUACGUGCCAGCAGCCGCGGUAA
rnacentral:rRNA from 1 species